AUGAACGCUGGCGGCGUGCCUAAUACAUGCAAGUCGAGCGAACAGACGAGGAGCUUGCUCCUCUGACGUUAGCGGCGGACGGGUGAGUAACACGUGGAUAACCUACCUAUAAGACUGGGAUAACUUCGGGAAGCCGGAGCUAAUACCGGAUAAUAUAUUGAACCGCAUGGUUCAAUAGUGAAAGACGGUUUUGCUGUCACUUAUAGAUGGAUCCGCGCCGCAUUAGCUAGUUGGUAAGGUAACGGCUUACCAAGGCAACGAUGCGUAGCCGACCUGAGAGGGUGAUCGGCCACACUGGAACUGAGACACGGUCCAGACUCCUACGGGAGGCAGCAGUAGGGAAUCUUCCGCAAUGGGCGAAAGCUUGACGGAGCAACGCCGCGUGAGUGAUGAAGGUCUUCGGAUCGUAAAACUCUGUCAUUAGGGAAGAACAAAUGUGUAAGUAACUAUGCACGUCUUGACGGUACCUAAUCAGAAAGCCACGGCUAACUACGUG
rnacentral:rRNA from 1 species